rnacentral:rRNA from 13 species
CGGGGAAAGAAGACCCUGUUGAGCUUGACUCUAGUUUGACAUUGUGAAAAGACAUAGGGGGUGUAGAAUAGGUGGGAGCUUCGGCGCCGGUGAAAUACCACUACCCUUAUCGUUUUUUUACUUAAUCAAUUAAGCGGAACUGGGCUUCAUCGCCCAUUUUCUAGCGUUAAGGUCCUUCGCGGGCCGAUCCGGGUUGAUGACAUUGUCAGGUGGGGAGUUUGGCUGGGGCGGCACAUCUGUAAAA